rnacentral:tRNA from 1 species
UGUGAUGUCUGAGUAAAUUUUCUCUCAGGCCAUAAUCCUGUCACCUUAGGUCGAUCGGUACCUCAGAUGAAUUACUAAUAGGCAACAGUUUUCUGUAGUUAAUUAGUUAUCAAUUUCAGUUCCUAAACUUGUCUAGGUCACACCCAACAAGGGUACUCCUGGGCCAUUAGCUCAGGUGGUUAGAGCGCACCCCUGAUAAGGGUGAGGUCCCUGGUUCAAGUCCAGGAUGGCCCAUUCGUCGUUGGGGGUAUAGCUCAGUUGGUAGAGCGCCUGCUUUGCAAGCAGGAUGUCAGCGGUUCGAGUCCGCUUACCUCCACUGGUCAACCCCUUACAGCGAUAAAGUUGAGGCCCUUUGUGAAAUGUGAUUUAGUUUUUAAUUCGCUAAUUGAACCUAGCCUCUUUUCAUUUCGUUUUUGAUGAUUGAAAAGAUGCUGGGCUCACUUCAAUUUUGAAAGAAAUUGAAGAGAACUUCAGUAGAACCUUGACAACUGCAUAGUGAGUCUGGAAAAGAAAAAGCAUCUCAUGGAUGCAUUGAUUUUGAAUUUCUUUUUUUGGAAGAACUAAAAUCAAUGUUUUUCUAUUGAGUAAGAGCUGAGAUUUUUGGCUUAAUUUUUCACCUUUGAAUUCAUUCAAAGGUGUUUCAAGUCAA